UUUCACUGAGACAAGGGGAGGCCGUAAAGGGGGCUUUAAACCUUUUGGCAGCAGUAUAGAGUUUUGUGCAAUGCACGGAAGUGCGAUACAGAAGGGACGUAUUAUCUAAUCUGUCUAAUUAAGUGCCAGCAGACGCGGUGAAACUUAAGGGUUAGUAUUAUAGGAAAAAGCGUAAAGGGUGUGAAAGAGAUUGCUUGCAAAGGGUAAAUGGAAUUCUUCUGUAAGGGUGGUAUCUGUAGAUAGAAAAAAGAACUCUAAACGCGAAGGUAAUUUAUCUGGAGCAGGAGAGCAAGAAGCCCCUCUCUCUUAAUUGAAACACGAAGGUAUGGGGAGCAAAUAGGAUUAGGUACCCUGGUAGUCCAUACUGUAAAUAAUGAAGAAAAUGCAAAACAAAUCUAAAAGGUAAUAAAUUUUUCCGCUUGAGUAGUACGAUCGCAAGAUUAAAAUUCAAAAAACUUGGCUGUUCACUGUUUAAAUUAGAGGAGCGUGUCGUUUAAUUCGAUAGUCCGCGAGAGACCUUACCCAAACUUGAAUUCACCCCUUGACAGGUAUUGCAUGGCCGUCGUCAAUUUGUGUUUAAAACGAAAACCGAUCUAACCCAGUGGCUUUUUAUAAGUUUAUUGGAUGAAGUCCGGUCUUAUGGUCCUAAUGUUUGGGGAUUAGAUGCGCUACAUUUUUUUAUGCAACGAGUGAUUUAGGAGGGGAAACUCUAAAAUAAGAGUUCGGAAGGUGGCUGGAAGAUAACUGAAAGUUGAAUUUAAUAGUAAUUAGAAAGUAGAGCGUUCUAGUGAAUUAUCCCCAGUGUUAGCACAAAUUGCCCGUCGCCUCCGCCGAGAAAAGUAGUUCGAAUGCUUUCUAUUCUGCGAGUGCCGUACAAUUUUGAGGCGGAGUAAGUCG
rnacentral:rRNA from 1 species